GAUGAACGCUGGCGGCGUGCCUAAUACAUGCAAGUCGAGCGUAUGGAUUAAGAGCUUGCUCUUAUGAAGUUAGCGGCGGACGGGUGAGUAACACGUGGGUAACCUGCCCAUAAGACUGGGAUAACUCCGGGAAACCGGGGCUAAUACCGGAUAACAUUUUGAACCGCAUGGUUCGAAAUUGAAAGGCGGCUUCGGCUGUCACUUAUGGAUGGACCCGCGUCGCAUUAGCUAGUUGGUGAGGUAACGGCUCACCAAGGCAACGAUGCGUAGCCGACCUGAGAGGGUGAUGGGCCACACUGGGACUGAGACACGGCCCAGACUCCUACGGGAGGCAGCAGUAGGGAAUCUUCCGCAAUGGACGAAAGUCUGACAGAGCAACGCCGCGUGAGUGAUGAAGGCUUUCGGGUCGUAAAACUCUGUUGUUAGGGAAGAACAAGUGCUAGUUGAAUAAGCUGGCACCUUGACGGUACCUAACCAGAAAGCCACGGCUAACUACGUGCCAGCCGCCGGGGUAA
rnacentral:rRNA from 1 species